rnacentral:rRNA from 1 species
UACGUAGGGGGCUAGCGUUGUCCGGAUUUACUGGGCGUAAAGAGCGCGCAGGCGGUCGUUCAAGUCGCGUGUGAAAGCCCCCGGCUCAACUGGGGAGGGUCACGCGAUACUGAUCGACUCGAAGGCAGGAGAGGGUAGUGGAAUUCCCGGUGUAGUGGUGAAAUGCGUAGAUAUCGGGAGGAACACCAGUGGCGAAGGCGACUACCUGGCCUGUUUCUUGACGCUGAGGCGCGAAAGCUAGGGGAGCAAACGGG